rnacentral:misc_RNA from 1 species
AAAGUGCGAUAAGCACUGUGAAUUGCAGAAUUCAGCGAAUCAGUAGAUCUCUCAACGCAAAUGGUGCUAGGUGAAUUUAUUCACUUGGCAGGCAUGCUUCAGCGUUGCAUUUAUUGCACACACAAACACACACACAUAAUCUUUCGUUUCAUCAUCACGACGACUCGAGAGAGGCUGUUGUUGUUUACCCGGUGUGCAUUUUUGUCGGAUUAAUUUUCGACGAUUGGUUCGCUAACGCUCGCGCUGGCGAAUGGGAACUGCUCAACAUUAUUAAUACAAGAGACUUCUUCUUAAGAAGCUUCUGCUUUAAAACUGUUAGAGCAAACAUCAACCUAAACAACCUGAGGUAUGUCAGAUUACCCGCUGAACUUAA